rnacentral:rRNA from 1 species
UAACGAGGAUUCCCUAGUAACUGCGAGUGAAGCGGGAAGAGCUCAAAUUUGUAAUCUGGUGGUCUCUGGCCGCCCGAGUUGUAAUCUGUAGAGGCGUCGUCUGCGUCGGCCCGUGUACAAGUCUCCUGGGAUGGAGCGUCAUAGAGGGUGAGAAUCCCGUCCAUGACACGGACCACCGAUGCUCUGUGAGGCGCCCUCAAAGAGUCGCGUUGUUUGGGAAUGCAGCGCAAAGCGGGUGGUAAAUUCCAUCUAAGGCUAAAUAUUGGCGAGAGACCGAUAGCGAACAAGUACCGUGAGGGAAAGAUGAAAAGCACUUUGAAAAGAGAGUUAAACAGUACGUGAAAUUGUUGAAAGGGAAACGCUUGAAGUCAGUCGCGUCUCGAGGCACUCAGCCUUGCUUCGGCUCGGUGUACUUGCCUUAGGACGGGUCAACAUCAAUUUUGGCCGGUGGACAAGGGCGAGGGGAAUGUAGCGUUGUUUCGGCGACGUGUUAUAGCCCCUUGUCAGAUACAUUGGCUAGGAUUGAGGACUGCAGCACGCCCUUGUGGCCGGGGGUUCGCCUCACGUAACGUGCUUAAGAUGUUGGCAUAAUGGCUUUAAGCGACCCGUCUUGAAACACGGACCAAGGAGUCUAACAUGCUUGCGAGUGUUCGGGUGGAAAACCCUUGCGCGUAAUGAAAGUGAAAGUUGGGAGCCUCUGUAAAGAGGGGUGCACCGAUGCCCGGCUCUGACGUUUUCUGACGACGCCGCGGUAGAGCAAGCAUGUUGGGACCCGAAAGAUGGUGAACUAUGCCUGAAUAGGGCGAAGCCAGAGGAAACUCUGGUGGAGGCUCGUAGCGAUUCUGACGUGCAAAUCGAUCGUCAAAUUUGGG